GUAAAGGUGUCUUUAGACACCACCUCUCUUCUUUAAAUUAUUUUGU
rfam:Picea glauca, whole genome shotgun sequence.